rnacentral:rRNA from 1 species
UACGUAGGGGGCGAGCGUUUGUCCGGAUUUAUUGGGCGUAAAGAGCUCGUAGGCGGUUUGGCAAGUCGGGUGUGAAAACUCCGGCUCAACUCGGAGACGCCACUCGAUACUGCUAUGACUCGAGUCCGGUAGGGGAGUGCGGAAUUCCUGGUGUAGCGGUGAAAUGCGCAGAUAUCAGGAGGAACACCGGUGGCGAAGGCGGCACUCUGGGCCGGUACUGACGCUGAGGAGCGAAAGCGUGGGGAGCGAACAGG